rnacentral:ncRNA from 1 species
CGCCUUGCCAACGCAAGGGAUUUCAGUAUGUUGCAAGCCAUUUCGACGGCUUGUGCCAUAGAUCUUGUAUGCGCUGUCCAAAUACAAGGCCCGCGCAAAUUUUAAAUACAAGGAG